rnacentral:rRNA from 1 species
CCUACGGGAGGCAGCAGUGAGGAAUAUUGGUCAAUGGCCGGAAGGCUGAACCAGUCAUGCCGCGUGAAGGUCAGUGCCCUAUGGGCGUUAAACUUCUUUUGUGCGGGAGCAAUAAUGGUCACGUGUGGCCAGACGAGAGUACCGUACGAAUAAGCAUCGGCUAACUCCGUGCCAGCAGCCGCGGUAAUACGGGGGAUGCAAGCGUUAUCCGGAUUUAUUGGGUUUAAAGGAUGCGUAGGCUGUGAGGUAAGUCAGCGGUGAAAUGCCCCCGCUCAACGGGGUGAAGUGCCAUUGAUACUGCCUUGCGGGAAUGCGGAUGCCGUGGGAGGAAUGUGUGGUGUAGCGGUGAAAUGCAUAGAUAUCACACAGAACACCGAUUGCGAAGGCAGCAUACCGGCGCCCGACUGACGCUGAGGCACGAAAGCGUGGGUAUCGAACAGGAUUAGAUACCCCGGUAGUC